UGGGGAAUUUUGGACAAUGGGCGAAAGCCUGAUCCAGCAAUGCCGCGUGUGUGAAGAAGGCCUUCGGGUUGUAAAGCACUUUUGUCCGGAAAGAAAUCCUUGGCUCUAAUACAGUCGGGGGAUGACGGUACCGGAAGAAUAAGCACCGGCUAACUACGUGCCAGCAGCCGCGGUAAUACGUAGGGUGCAAGCGUUAAUCGGAAUUACUGGGCGUAAAGCGUGCGCAGGCGGUUUGCUAAGACCGAUGUGAAAUCCCCGGGCUCAACCUGGGAACUGCAUUGGUGACUGGCAGGCUAGAGUAUGGCAGAGGGGGGUAGAUUCCACGUGUAGCAGUGAAAUGCGUAGAGAUGUGGAGGAAUACCGAUGGCGAAGGCAGCCCCCUGGGCCAAUACUGACGCUCAUGCACGAAAGCGUGGGGAGCAAACAGGAUUAGAUACCCUGGUAGUCCACGCCCUAAAACGAUGUCAACUAGUUGUUGGGGAUUCAUUUCCUUAGUAACGUAGCUAACGCGUGAAGUUGACCGCCUGGGGGAGUACGGUCGCAAGAUUAAAACUUAAAUGAAUUGACGGGGUCAUAGCUGUUUCCU
rnacentral:rRNA from 1 species